rnacentral:rRNA from 1 species
GAGUUUGAUCAUGGCUCAGAUUGAACGCUGGCGGCAUGCCUUACACAUGCAAGUCGAACGGCAGCAUGAUCUAGCUUGCUAGAUUGAUGGCGAGUGGCGAACGGGUGAGUAAUACAUCGGAACGUGCCCUGUAGUGGGGGAUAACUAGUCGAAAGAUUAGCUAAUACCGCAUACGACCUGAGGGUGAAAGUGGGGGACCGCAAGGCCUCAUGCUAUAGGAGCGGCCGAUGUCUGAUUAGCUAGUUGGUGGGGUAAAGGCCCACCAAGGCGACGAUCAGUAGCUGGUCUGAGAGGACGAUCAGCCACACUGGGACUGAGACACGGCCCAGACUCCUACGGGAGGCAGCGAGUGGGAAUUUUGGACAAGUGGGGCAACCCUGAUCCAGCAAUGCGCGUGUGUGAAGAAGG